GUGUGACUCACAUGUUUAAGGGGAUGCUGUUAUAAACAGAUCUACUACACUGACAACUGUAUAAAAGCAUAGUGCCUACAAUUAUGUACAGUACAUUGUACUAUACACUUUAUCAUCAUUUUAGAAUGUGCUACUUCUACUUAUAAGAUAAUUUUUACUGUAAAACAGUAUACCGUGGCACACUGGAAGAAGCCACCUAUAUUUGAGGCUGACUGCAUUUCUUGAGGACAUCAAGAAGCCAUGUUCAGCGGUGGACCUGUACCAUCUAAUUCUGUUGAUAAACACCUUGUAAGGAAGGGGAGGGAGCAGGAUUAUACAGAGGGAGAAGUUGAACCCUUGCAUGCCUGACCAGGACUCAGCCAAUCCAGCAAGGGACUCUGAAGCUAAUGAAUUGCCCAGCAAUGAAGCCGUCUCUCUGGCUAAAGUGGCCAGUUCUUUACGCUUCUGCCUUAG
ensembl:lncRNA